rnacentral:rRNA from 1 species
AGUGAACGCUGGCGGCAGGCCUAACACAUGCAAGUCGAACGGCAGCACAGUAAGAGCGUGCUCUUACGGGUGGCGAGUGGCGGACGGGUGAGGAAUACAUCGGAAUCUACUUUUUCGGGGGGGAUAACGUAGGGAAACUUACGCUAAUACCGCAUACGACCUACCGGUGAGAGCAGUGGAGCUUCGGACCUUGGGCGAUUGAAUGAGCCGAUUCCGGAUUAGCUAGGUGGCGGGGUAAAGGCACACCAAGGCGACGAACCGCAGCCGACGUGGGAGGAGGAUCGGCCGCACUGGAACUGAGACACGGUCCAGACUCCUACGGGAGGCAGCAGUAUGGUAUCGUCCGCAAUGGGCGAAAGCCUGACGGAGCAACGCCGCGCGAGUGAUGAAGGUCUUCGGAUCGUAAAACUCUGUUAUGAGGUAAGAACAAAUGUGUAAGGAACUAUGCACGUCGUGACGGUACCUAAUCAGAAAGCCACGGCUAACUACGUG